GACGAACGCUGGCGGCGUGCUUAACACAUGCAAGUCGAACGGAAAGGCCCUGCUUUUGUGGGGUGCUCGAGUGGCGAACGGGUGAGUAACACGUGAGUAACCUGCCCUUGACUUUGGGAUAACUUCAGGAAACUGGGGCUAAUACCGGAUAGGAGCUCCUGCUGCAUGGUGGGGGUUGGAAAGUUUCGGCGGUUGGGGAUGGACUCGCGGCUUAUCAGCUUGUUGGUGGGGUAGUGGCUUACCAAGGCUUUGACGGGUAGCCGGCCUGAGAGGGUGACCGGCCACGUUGGGACUGAGAUACGGCCCAGACUCCUACGGGAGGCAGCAGUGGGGAAUAUUGCACAAUGGGCGGAAGCCUGAUGCAGCAACGCCGCGUGCGGGAUGACGGCCUUCGGGUUGUAAACCGCUUUCGCCUGUGACGAAGCGUGAGAGACGGUAAUGGGUAAAGAAGCACCGGCUAACUACGUG
rnacentral:rRNA from 1 species